GAGCCACAUUCCCAGCCCUUUUUUGUAUUUCAUUUUAGAGUCAGGCUGAGGCUAGCUUUGAACUCAGGAUCCUCCUGCCUUAGCCUCCCAAGCUGCUGGGAUUAUAGGUGUGCACCACCAUGCCCAGCUCAGAUUCUACUUUUUAAUUUUAACAAUGUUUGAGUCAUGAUCAUUAAGUCCAUCACAACAAGGGCCACACAGUUGUUCCUGGCACUUAUCUGAUACUUGUGCAGGGAGAACCACACAGAUUAAUAUAAUUCCAGUUUAUGUGUGUAUGUUAUGGUUUAAUACAAAGAUUAAACCUAUAAUUGGAAAAUUAAACAAAACAAAACAAAUAAACCAAAACCCUAAGGUACAAAUCAAUGUGCAUAGUCUGUUAGCAUUUUUAUUUAUUAUUGUUAUUAUUUUGGUAUUGGGGAUUAAAUUCAGGGGCAUUCAACCACUGGGUCACAUCCAGUUCCAGAGGCAGGGUCUCACUGAGUUGCUUAGCACCUCGAUAAGUUGAUGAGGCUGGCUUUGAACUCAUGAUCCUCCUACCUCAGCCUCUCAAACUGCUGGAAUUACAGGCACCACUGUGCCCAGUUUACCAUUUGUAUUUAUAAAAAGAGGAACCCCUGCAUGUAAUCCCAGCAACUCAGGAGGCUGAGACAGGAAGAUGGAAAGUUCAAAGUUAGCC
rnacentral:lncRNA from 1 species